rnacentral:rRNA from 1 species
GAUUGAACGCUGGCGGCAGGCCUAACACAUGCAAGUCGAGCGGCAGCGGGUCCUUCGGGAUGCCGGCGAGCGGCGGACGGGUGAGUAAUGCCUAGGAAUCUGCCUGAUAGUGGGGGAUAACGUUCGGAAACGGACGCUAAUACCGCAUACGUCCUACGGGAGAAAGCGGGGGAUCUUCGGRCCUCGCGCUAUCAGAUGAGCCUAGGUCGGAUUAGCUAGUUGGUGGGGUAAAGGCUCACCAAGGCGACGAUCCGUAACUGGUCUGAGAGGAUGAUCAGUCACACUGGAACUGAGACACGGUCCAGACUCCUACGGGAGGCAGCAGUGGGGAAUAUUGGACAAUGGGCGAAAGCCUGAUCCAGCCAUGCCGCGUGUGUGAAGAAGGUCUUCGGAUUGUAAAGCACUUUAAGUUGGGAGGAAGGGCAGUCAGCUAAUACCUGGUUGUUUUGACGUUACCAACAGAAUAAGCACCGGCUAACUUCGU